rnacentral:misc_RNA from 1 species
UCCGGUUUGUCACCGGCAGUCUCCUUAGAGUUCCCACCAUGACGUGCUGGCAACUAAGGACAAGGGUUGCGCUCGUUACGGGACUUAACCCAACAUCUCACGGCACGAGCUGACGACAACCAUGCACCACCUGUGUACGGCCCCGAAGGACACCAUAUCUCUAUGGCUUUUCCGUACAUUUCAAGCCUUGGUAAGGUUCUUCGCGUUGCUUCGAAUUAAGCCACAUGCUCCGCCGCUUGUGCGGGCCCCCGUCAAUUCCUUUGAGUUUUAGCCUUGCGGCCGUACUCCCCAGGCGGGGCACUUAAUGCGUUAGCUACGGCACAGGGCCCGUCAAUGGAGCCCCACACCUAGUGCCCAUCGUUUACGGCGUGGACUAC